rnacentral:rRNA from 1 species
GGAAUGGGCCCGCGGCCUAUUAGUCAGUCGGAGGGGUAACGGCCCCCCGAGGUGAUUAUGGGUAGCCGGGUUGAGAGACCGACCGGCCAGAUUGGGACUGAGACACGGCCCAGACUCCUACGGGAGGCAGCAGUGGGGAAUCUUGCGCAAUGGGCGGAAGCCUGACGCAGCGACGCCGCGUGCGGGACGAAGGCCUUCGGGUCGUAAACCGCUUUCAGCAGGGACGAGGCCCUCACGGUGACGGUACCUGCAGAAGAAGCCCCGGCUAACUACGUGCCAGCAGCCGCGGUAAUACGUAGGGGGCGAGCGUUAUCCGGAUUCAUUGGGCGUAAAGCGCGCGUAGGCGGCCUGUUAGGUCGGGGGUCAAAUACCGGGGCUCAACCCCGGUCCGCCCCCGAUACCGGCAGGCUUGAGUCUGGUAGGGGAAGGCGGAAUUCCCAGUGUAGCGGUGGAAUGCGCAGAUAUUGGGAAGAACACCGGCGGCGAAGGCGGCCUUCUGGGCCACGACUGACGCUGAGGCGCGAAAGCUAGGGGAGCGAACAGGAUUAGAUACCCUGGUAGUCCUAGCCGUAAACGAUGGACGCUAGGUGUUGGGGG